AACAAUAUCAGAUGUAGUGUUUAUCCUCAUAAGCACUUAGCAGUUAUUACCAACUGUACUGACUAUUUAGUCUUUACCUAUAAGUAUCUCCAAGUAAUGGACAGAGUUCAUAACUGCUGUGCUUAGAUGUGUGGUACUAGAAUCAAUAUUACCAUAUUUCCCUCAUUAGUGAUGACAUUUACAUACAAAAAAUAGAUGCAAACAGAAUUGUUACCUUUUUUGUAUUUUUCAAAUUAAAUGAUGUUUUCUGAAGUUCUAAUAGAAAAGACAAACAAGGGAAAAAAACACUUUGCCUCUUCCUUUAACACAUAAAUGGGCUGGAGAGAGAAUUCAGUGACACCUACAAAACAAGAACCUCCUCCAUGUAUUGAGCGAUGAGCUUCAGAGUGUCAGAGAAGAGGUAAAAGUUCAAAGUCUUAACUGUGGUUCGGCACAGGAGUAAUCAAUCCAACCGAGCAUGCAGAACAAACAAAGGAGCAGGCAGAGCAAAAACCAGGAGACUGAACUGGGUCAAAAACACGCACAGACUGUCACGAGAAGAAUGCCGGGCCACUGUGAACGUGAUAGAUGUGGCGCAGAACUGAGGCAAAACGCAGUUUAAAUACACAGGGGAGACAAUUAGACACAGGUGAAACACAUUAGGAUGGGGAAGGUAAUCACACAGGAGAGCAGAGAGGAGGUGGGCCUGAGACAAAAGACAAGGUAGUGUUUUCCAGAAUACAUGAAAUCUGCAUACAAGAAAAACCUACAGCUGCUGUUAGGUGCUGUUGACGUACUCUGGCACCGAGCUCGCUCUGAGGAUUUGACGUGUGCAAACAAGCAGCUGCAGUAUGGAGCCCAUCUCUCAGACCAUGGAGGCAGCAGAUGCUCAUCUGCAGAGGCGUGGGUGGAGGUUUGUGACCAAACGGGGAGCCUCAUCACAGUUCGUGGGGAGCACCAUGAUGAUCAUGACCACUUAUGCUGUCACCACCCUGACUAUGAACCUGGGGAAAAAAAUACAGGAGCGAAGAUCGAGACCGAACGGCAACUAAAGAUGGCCUCAUCAGAGACCCGGACUCACUGCCUUCACCCUGUAAUGAUGUCGGCAGCAACGCCCGGAAGAGAUCAGAAAUGGUUGGCCUCAACUUUGACGCUUCAUUCUUUACUUUGUGAAGCUGGGAGGUGGUCUUUCACCUUAACCUGAGGUCAUUACCAUAAAUGAAUGAUGACGAAUGGACAUGAAUACAUCACAUGCACUGCUGCCAUAUGACCACAGGGUGGAGAACUGGGACUACUUUAGGACCACCAGCCCGCUAGAGGCUGAAUGUGUCAGACAGUUCAGACAGUAAAAAACAAAGACAGUGGCAUUUUUUGAACCCAUUAAAUGCAUUUAAAGAACGAUGAUUAGAGCUAUGUCGAUGUUCUGUGACUAACAAGUAGAACUCUGAUAAUUUGUCCUUGUAUUCUGAGUUUCUUUCUUUUUUUUAAAAUCAUCAUAAAGUUGCCUUUUAAGUUUAAAACAAGCCUGUGUGACAGCGGAUUGUAAAAACUGUAAAAUGUCAGGUCACUCGAGUGUUUCUCGUGAGACAGAAAAUUAUUGUAAUGCUGUGCUGAAUCACUGACUUUAAAUAAAUCAUAAAAUAUAUUCCAGUUUCAA